AAACCAUGCAUCGGGCAUGUUUUCAAUAGCUCCUUGAAUCGCUCUCAUGCUUCAUAUAAUGUUUCAUUCUUUGAUUGUCUAAACGAUGCAAUGUUGUUCCUCAACUU
rfam:Gossypium hirsutum cultivar TM-1 chromosome 9, whole genome shotgun sequence